CAAUCCAAAAAACAGGAACGUGGGAAUGAGCAUCCAGCAAUUCUUUAUUGCUUACCAGAGGUGAGUUGGGUCCUUUCUCAGUGGAGUCCCUUGUUCAGUGUUGCUGUGGACAGUAAGUGUGGUUAUUAUUUGGAAACAGUCCUUUUCCAAGGUGGAAGGAGCCCUCAGGUCCGUGAGGUUUGGCUCUCCUGUCUCUGGAAGGAGGAGCUGCAGGUCCUCCAUGGACAGUCCUGGGGCCUGACGUGUUCCUGCUGCUGCUUCUCCCAGUUUCUUGCUUGUGGAUGGUGCUGAGACAUUUCCUCUGAGCAGACACUGCCUGGGAGAGCUUGAACUGCAAUUACAGUUGUGCUUUUCUCCAAAAAGGAAGAGAAUCUGGUGGAUUCUGGAAACUGGACCCAAGUCCAGGGUGAGCUGUGCCAGGAGACACAGGUAGUGGAGGUUCUUUGCUUUUGAGUGUUUCCAAAGACACUGUUGAGCUGGACAUGAACAACUGUUCUUAUUUUAUGGCCCUUCAAGGUGCUAAAUGGAUAUUUAUCCCAGGAUUAGCAGACAUCAGGAUCAUCACCAGGAUGAUCCAGAGGAACUGGUGUCCGUGGAAGUGAGGCCCUCUCUUGCUGUGUUUGGAGUGCUGGUGCAGCACUAAGUGAUGACUCGAGCUGGGCUCAGUUGCCUUUACUGCCUGGGGUCAUUCCUCACCAGUGUGACCAGCCCACAGUGUCACUGGAGUCACUGGGGCAUUUUCAAUAUUGGAAUUUGAAUUUCAGUGAAAGAAUUACGGUCUCUAGUUGUUCCUAUUGUGCAUUUCCUCUCUUAAGGCUUUGAGGUAUUGGAAGUGCAGUUUAAAAAGAUUAAAAAUUCUAAUUACCAGAGAUGUUCAUGUGUGCUGUUGUCAGUGGUAAAGCUUUUAUUGAUUCAGAAGUGUAGGAAGGGCCAUUAAAUAGAUGCAGGGAUCAUAUCCCUGCCAAAACCUGCAGCCAUUUUCUGCUGCUGAAUCCCUUUUCCUUCCCAGAUCAGAACUGUGCAGUGUCAGACAAGGACUCUAAAAUUAGCAGAGCCCAUUUUGUGAGAUGGGAGGGAUGUGAAAUGAGCUGUGCUGGAGUUUUCCCCUCAUACCUUUUCGGUGCUGGAAGUGCCUGUGCUACACUUGAGGGUGGUUGGUCAGCCUUCCUUCAGACCUGCACCCACCAGCUGUGCCUUCUGAUCCCUCUCCUGGGAGGGAGGGGAAAGAUGGAGCGGGGAAAGCAUCUUAUUUCCCGUGGUGUGACAGGAGGGACAGAUGCACCAACUCCUGAGGGUGCCCUGCUGCCAAAGGAGUGCCCACUGUCCCUUCCCUGCAGGCUGACAGUCCCAACUCCAACUUCCCGUCUCCAUCCAACUCUUGGAUCUGCUGUGGAGCCACUGUUGUGGCUGGAGUGCACCCCCUGCUCCCUGCCCUCCCACAGGAGGCUGUGUCCCUGCUUUUCCCUGUUUCUAAAUAUCUGGAUAUCAUGGAUUUAUCCCUUAUCUGCCAUCAGGGCCCUCAAGUGCCCCGAGAACGUGCCGGGCUGCGGCCACUGGCCCAGGGCCCCGGAGCAUCCGCAAAGGUAUUAAUUAUACCUUUUGUUACACUUGUUCCCCCAGGUGCAGUAAAUUGGAGCAAGAAGUGAGUGAAAUGCAGCCAUCCAUGCCUGCUGAUUUAUCACUUCAGGAAAAUAAAACCCUCUCAGAAGCUCGGGAGAUUGUGCCUUUUGUUUGGGCCAGGCCUCCGACUUCCUUGAUCGCGCGUAAAAGAUUUCCUGUUUGUGAGAAUGGAAAGAGGUCCUUUAAACCAAAUGAGACACAAAUGAGAAAAUAUGUUGUUCAGCCACUGGUGGCUGGAAGCUUUCGGAGCUGGUGUGGUUGGUGGUGAUGCCCCUGGAAAAGGCACAGGAAUAAAACCAAGCCAGGCUGCUUUCCCGUGUUUAUUCCAGCUUGUGAGAAUGCAAGAGGCACCAGAAGCAGGGGCAGGAAAGGAUUCCACACAGGAAGGCCCCAGUGAUGCACGCGGCUCGUUAGCACACGCUCCCGUCGAUGACCUCGCUCGCGAUGGUAGAGGUUUGUUUGCCAUGUGCUCGUGCCUUUUUAUCUCCAGUUUUGAUUAUAAAAAUGUUCCUGUUUAAAAGACCCACGCCAGGGAAUAAAUCUCUGGGCCCAACAGCCCCUUUGAGCACGGGCAGCCCCAGCAUUUAACUUGUAACAAAGAGACUUUUGGUGGAAGCUUUUUGAUAAAAAGUUGGCAGCAUAUCAGAGGAGCAGUUUGGCCAUGAGAUAUGAACAAGGAUGUCACUCUGGAUGUUUUAACUUCUUACCUUUCCUUCCAAUUAUUUUUUUUAAAUGAUUAUGAAUGAAUUAUAAACCAGAAGAUGAUUACUUUCAGUGUGGGUGUUUCCAAAUAGUGCCUCAAUUAAAGAAGCCAGUCUGUUUUGCUUUUAACAUAAUCCAGAGAUCUGGCAGCCCAAUGAGAUACUGCCGUAAACCAGCAGCAGUUUAAAGGAGUAAGAAUUCAGAGUGACCUGAAGAAUAAUUAGCUUUUAGCACAAAAUCUGUCAGGAUAAGGAGCUUGGACUGUUGUUUAACUUAUUUGAUUUAACUGGGACCAAAGCACUGGUUGCCUUCCCUCUCAUGUGAGUGGCAGGUGGUGGAAAACAGCAGAAGACAAGGUGAGGGUGAAGAAGGGUA